rnacentral:rRNA from 1 species
UACGUAGGGUGCGAGCGUUAAUCGGAAUUACUGGGCGUAAAGCGUGCGCAGGCGGCUUUGCAAGACAGAUGUGAAAUCCCCGGGCUCAACCCGGGAACUGCGUCCGAUACUGGUGGGCUUGAAUCCGGGAGAGGGAUGCGGAAUUCCAGGUGUAGCGGUGAAAUGCGUAGAUAUCUGGAGGAACACCGGUGGCGAAGGCGGCUACACUGGCCCGAUACUGACGCUGAGGCACGAAAGCGUGGGGAGCAAACAGG